rnacentral:rRNA from 1 species
GGUAAUACCGCAUGAGACCAUGGACUGGGAUGUGCAUGGUGAAACCCGGGGACCGAAAGGCCUGGGGCAAGGAGAGGGUCCUGCGUCUGAUUAGCUAGUUGGCGGGGUAACGGACCACCAAGGCAUCGAUCAGUAGCCGGCCUGAGAGGGUAAUCGGCCACACUGGAACUGAGACACGGUCCAGACUCCUACGGUAUGCAGCAGUGGGGAAUUUUGCGCAAUGGGCGAGAGCCUGACGCAGCAACGCCGCGUGGGUGAUGAAGGUCUUCGGAUCGUAUACCCUUCGUCAGGUACGUAGUUUCGAUCUUAAGAGAUGCGCUACUUGACGGUACUUGGAGAGGGAAGCCCCUGUCUAACUUCUGUUUCAUCAGCCGCGGUUAUACAGAGGGGUCAACGUGUAUUCGGUAUUAUUGGGGCGUUAAGGGCGCGUAGUCGGUUUCUUUAGUUAGAUGUUUUAUCCCCGGUCUUAACUUGGGUACUGCAUCUCAUACUGGGAGGUUAGAGUACUGGAGAGGGUGGUAGUAUUCCACUUGUAGCGGUUGUAAUGCGUAGAGAUUUGGAGGAAUACCAGUGUCGAAGGCGUCCACCUGGACAGUAACUGACUUUGAGGCUCGAAAGUGUGGUGAUCUUUACAAAAUUAGAUACCCUGGUAGUCCACGCUGUAAAUGAUGUACACUUGGUGUGGCGGGAGUUGACCCCUGCCGUGCCUGGAGCUUACGCUGAUAAUGUGUUCCGCCUUGGGGAGUACGGUCUGCAAGUCUGAAACUCAAAGGAAUUGACGGGGGCCCGCACAAGCGGUGGAACAUGUGGUUCAAUUCGAAGCAACGCGAAG